rnacentral:lncRNA from 1 species
GGCCGGAGCCCCGCCUGCUGGCCUCGCUCCCCCUGAAGGCGUCUUACAGCGCAGGUCUCAGGACCCCUCGCCAAAGCCUCCCCGGGAACCAGUCCAGCUCUUUUGUGCCGUCCUAUCCCUGCGCGCCCCUCGGAUGGGAUCUCUCACACUUGAGAAACACGCAUCUUUGGAUGGCCCCGAUAAGUACUCUGAUCAACUCUCCCAAUCCCAACUACCCAAAGAGGAUCGGUGCUGGAACAUCUUCUAUCCCGCUCGGGGCGGUGACGACCGUGGCCUGACCCUAUUGUGAUCUGACAACUCAGUGUAGCCGCGCUUCCCAUGACAGAUCUGUUUACUGCUCAGACCAGUUUUGAGAACGCAAUACACAGCGCCACCUACCGGCCGAGGCGUGUCUAGCAGUGAGCCCAUGUUUAUGGCAGAAAUACAAAAUACACAAUAAUUUAGAGACAAUUGAAAAAAAAUCACUUAUAAUUCCACCACGACGGACAGCCUAUGUUACAUUGUGCUGCAUUUUCUCUUUUUACGAGUUUUUUCUUUGUGAAAAUUAUUUUAAUUUGGUUGAGACCCAAACGGAGGCUUUUUGCUUGCUCAAUACCACCAUCACCACUUCCUUCCCUAAACGUCCUUACAUUCCCAAACUUGUCUGGAUUCCACAAAGCCUCGACUCUUCCUGAACUCUUGGUUUCCCUAUGGUACUGCGUUACAAAAGCCUAAAAGCUAUGAUGAUUUUCCAGAGAGAGAGAGAGAGAGAGAGAUGAACAAAAGUUUCCGGAAAGAAGCCUCACCCAUUUCAGACAUUCUGCAAGGCUGAUUGACUGCUUAGAACUUCUAGAACUUCUGUGUUCAUCCAGAGCUAGAACGUUGCAGGUCCAUAGUCAAAUUAUUUCAGGCUCCCUAUUCCUGUAUCACCCACCCGUGUGUUUGACCUAAUGUCCUUGUGACUAUCAGGUAAAUCCCUUUGAAAUGUAUAGUAAGUCCUCUGUCUGCAAUCAAUCCAACGGCUAAAAACAUCAAGAGAACAUCAAGAGAUGAUAUCUGAGACGAUACACAGAGGCUUCCUGGCUUUGCUGUAAUUUAUCUAUCUGAUGCUUCCACCAACCUCUUUAAAAUGUUCCUUUACUAUUUUCUUUGUACUUUGUGGAACCGCUACCACAUUGGCACAUGGUAUUUGAGGCACCUGAACCUGUGUUCCUGGGCCAUGGUCAUUCCUGUGUGUGUGUGUGUGUGUGUGUGUGUGUGUGUGUGUGUGUGUGUAUGCAUGCG